rnacentral:rRNA from 1 species
UACGUAGGGGGCUAGCGUUGUCCGGAUUUAUUGGGCGUAAAGAGCGUGUAGGCGGCCAGGUAGGUCUGCUGUGAAAACUCGAGGCUCAACCUCGAGACGUCGGCGGAAACCAUCUGGCUAGAGUCCGGAAGAGGAGAGUGGAAUUCCUGGUGUAGCGGUGAAAUGCGCAGAUAUCGUAAGGAAGACCAGUGGCGAAGGCGGGUCUCUGGACAGUUCCUGACGCUGAGGCACGAAGGCCAGGGGAGCAAACGGG